rnacentral:rRNA from 1 species
AACUUUUACUUACACUCAAAUCGCCGGGAACUACAAGCUAAGCUUAAAACCCAAAGGACUUGACGGUACCUCACAUCCCCCUAGAGGAGCCUGUCCCAUAAUCGAUAAUCCACGUUUAACCUUACCACUCUUAGCUUAUCAGCCUGUAUACCUCCGUCGCCAGUUCACCGCAUGAGCGCUAGUAAGUGAGCCAAAUGGCCCCACCCACCAAUACGUCAGGUCAAGGUGCAGCAUAUAAAGUGGAGAGAGAUGGGCUACACUUUCUACAUUAGAAAAGACGAAAAACUACUUAUGAAAUCUAGUUGGAAGGCGGAUUUAGUAGUAAAAAGGAACUAACAUGUCCAUUUUAACCUGGUACUGAGGUGCGUACACACCGCCCGUCACCCUCA